GACGAACGCUGACAGAAUGCUUAACACAUGCAAGUCUUUGGCGAAGCUGUGCUUGCACAGCCUAGCCAAGGCGGACGGGUGAGUAACGCGUAAGGAACUUGCCCUGCAGUCAGGGAUAACAGACGGAAACGACUGAUAAGACCUGGUAAAGUCAGGCGGACUCAUGUCCAGCCUGAUGAAAAGAGAUGCUGCAGGAGAGCCUUGCGUCCUAUUAGCUUGUUGGUGGGGUAACGGCCCACCAAGGCGAUGAUAGGUAGCCGGCCUGAGAGGGUGGACGGCCACAAGGGGACUGAGAUACGGCCCUUACUCCUACGGGAGGCAGCAGUGGGGAAUAUUGGACAAUGGGGGCAACCCUGAUCCAGCAAUUCUGUGUGCACGAUGAAGGUUUUCGGAUUGUAAAGUGCUUUCAGCAGGGAAGAAAAAAAUGACGGUACCUGCAGAAGAAGCGACGGCUAAAUACGUG
rnacentral:rRNA from 1 species